rnacentral:ncRNA from 1 species
UUAAAUACUAUGAAGGAAAGAGUAAUAAAUUGGUUUUGUUCAAAGAGAGCCGACAAUUUGGUGAAAGUCGGAAACAAAAUGAUUUAUGAAUAUGGCUCUGGAGUAUACCAUUUGAAAUAGUAGAAUUAGUAAUUAGGAUGGUACGGCAGCAACCGUUAUAUUGAAAAGUAAUGUUAGUUACUUAUAGAGGUCUUUAUUGUGAGAUAAAGAUGAAAUAGAGUGGUAAAGCGUAUUUUAUGCCUCUAUA